rnacentral:rRNA from 1 species
UACGGAGGGUGCGAGCGUUGUCCGGAAUCAUUGGGCGUAAAGGGCGCGUAGGUGGCCUGGUCAGCGUGCGGUGAAAGCUCGGGGCUCAACCCCGAGUCGGCCGUGCGAACUGCUGGGCUUGAGCACUGUAGAGGCAGGCGGAAUUCCGGGUGUAGCGGUGGAAUGCGUAGAGAUCCGGAAGAACACCGGUGGCGAAGGCGGCAUCCUGGACCAAUAUUGACGCUGAGGAGCGAAAGCUAGGGGAGCAAACGGG